rnacentral:rRNA from 1 species
GGCUAACUCCGUGCCAGCAGCCGCGGUAAUACGGAGGGUGCGAGCGUUAAUCGGAAUUACUGGGCGUAAAGCGCAUGCAGGCGGCCUGUUAAGUCAGAUGUGAAAGCCCGGGGCGUUAACCUCCGGAAAUUGCAUUUGAAACUAGGCAGGCUAGAGUCUUGUAGAGGGGGGUAGGAAGUUUCAGGUGUAGCGGUGAAAUGCGUAGAGAUCUGAAGGAAUACCAGUGGCGAAGGCGGCCCCCUCGGACAAAGACUGACGCUCAGAUGCGAAAGCGUGGGGAGCAAACAGGAUUAGAUACCCUGGUAG